AAAGUCGUAACAAGGUUUCCGUAGGUGAACCUGCGGAAGGAUCAUUAACACAAUAAUAUCCAAACCUUUUGGAUCAACCCAACCUUUGCGAACUGUUUUCUCUUCACUUUAAUUUAAUUUUUCUAAAACUCUUUCUGAUUUGUAAUAUGUCUGAUCUUUUUUUCGAGUUGAAAAACUUGAAAAAGAAAAUUCUAACGUAAUACAACUCUUAACAACGGAUAUCUUGGCUCUC
rnacentral:misc_RNA from 1 species